rnacentral:rRNA from 1 species
GACGAACGCUGGCGGCGUGCUUAACACAUGCAAGUCGAACGGAAAGGCCCUGCUUUUGUGGGGUGCUCGAGUGGCGAACGGGUGAGUAACACGUGAGUAACCUGCCCUUGACUUUGGGAUAACUUCAGGAAACUGGGGCUAAUACCGGAUAGAAGCUCCUGCUGCAUGGUGGGGGUUGGAAAGAUUCGGCGGUUGGGGAUGGACUCGCGGCUUAUCAGCUUGUUGGUGGGGUAGUGGCUUACCAAGGCUUUGACGGGUAGCCGGCCUGCGAGGGUGACCGGGCACAUUGGGACUGAGAUACGGCCAAGACUCCUACGGGAGGCAGGAGUGGGGGAUAUUGCACGAUGGGCGGAAGCCUGAUGCAGCAACGCCGCGUGCGGGAUGACUGCCUGCGGGUUGUAAACCGCUUUCGCCUGGGACGAAGCGUGAGUGACGGUAAUGGGUAAAGAAGCAACGGCUAACUACGUG